rnacentral:rRNA from 1 species
UACGUAGGGUGCGAGCGUUGUUCGGAAUUACUGGGCGUAAAGCGUGCGUAGGCUGCUUUGGAAGUCAGAUGUGAAAUCCCUGGGCUCAACCUAGGAACUGCGUUUGAAACUACAAGGCUAGAGUGUAGCAGAGGGGGGUAGAAUUCCACGUGUAGCAGUGAAAUGCGUAGAGAUGUGGAGGAAUACCAAUGGCGAAGGCAGCCCCCUGGGUUAACACUGACGCUCAUGCGCGAAAGCGUGGGGAGCAAACAGG